GGAUUAGAUACCCUGGUAGUCCACGCUGUAAACGAUGAGAACUAGACGUCGGGUGGAUAACCGUUCGGUGUCGCAGCUAACGCAUUAAGUUCUCCGCCUGGGGAGUACGGCCGCAAGGCUGAAACUCAAAGGAAUUGACGGGGGCCCGCACAAGCGGUGGAGCAUGUGGUUUAAUUCGAUGCAACGCGAAGAACCUUACCUGCCCUUGACAUCCUGGGAAGGUCCUAGAGAUAGGACUGUGCCUUCGGGAACCCAGUGACAGGUGCUGCAUGGCUGUCGUCAGCUCGUGCUG
rnacentral:rRNA from 1 species